UACGUAGGGUGCGAGCGUUGUCCGGAAUUACUGGGCGUAAAGAGCUCGUAGGCGGUUUGUCGCGUCUGCCGUGAAAGUCCGGGGCUCAACUCCGGAUCUGCGGUGGGUACGGGCAGACUAGAGUGAUGUAGGGGAGACUGGAAUUCCCGGUGUAGUGGUGGAAUGCGUAGAGAUCGGGAGGAACACCUGUGGCGAAGGCGGUGGCCUGGACCGGUGCUGACGCUGAGGCGCGAAGGCGUGGGGA
rnacentral:rRNA from 1 species